UGGUUUAAGAUUCCGGGGUAAGCUGGUGUUUAUAAACUAAUACAAACACCAGCUUACCCCGGAGUUUUGGACCA